AGCCGCUCGCGGCGCCCCGCGCGGUCCCCGCGGCCCCAGGCGCGGGCAGGUGCUCACCUAGGCUGAGGCCCGGGCCCGCUGGCGAGAGCGAAGCUCACUGCAAUUUUUUUCAUUCGUACUUUUUGCAUAGGUUGAAUUUUGUAGUUGGGUUAAACCCGGGACCUCUCCGAAAAGGACCCACUUCCCCCCCCUCAAAAUGGCAGCCUCCAGUCGCGCACAAGUGUUAGAUCUGUACCGGGCGAUGCUGAGAGAGAGCAAGAAUUUCAGCGCCUAUAAUUACAGAACUUAUGCUAUCAGGAGGAUAAGAGAUGCCUUCAGAGAAAAUAAGAAUGUAAAAGAUCCUGUAGAAAUUCAGACUCUAGUGAAUAAAGCCAAAAGAGACCUGGGAAUGAUUCGUCGACAGCUGAAGCUAGCCCCCUGCUCCCCGGAGACUGUCGGUGCAGUAGUGCUGAGCAAAGCAGAGUGAGAUGGAAGAAAUCCAGAAAAUGGCAGCAGGAGCUCAGGGAAGCCCCAGACAACUUUGCCUUGAGGAAUCCAGCUGACAGACAUGUGCUUUUCCUAACACAUAUGUGGUCCACAUUGGCCAACUGUAUUCAACUGACAAGCUUAUCAUUGAGAAUCAAGAAAAGCCCAAGACCUAAAGACCGCUACCACCAGCCACCACCAGCAACUGUGGACCACCUUCAGCAUCCAUUCUGUGCUUGGGAUGGGGCUCCCAACAGACCACGAGUGACCUCCUGCAUCAGCUUAAAAUAGCCUCUUGCUCAGCCUACCCUGUAGGAACUGAUCAGUUGAGUGAGGUUUCCAUUCUUCUGCAGCCUUCCUUCAUGGAAAAAAAAAUGGCUGUCUUUCCUUGGUUCAAGUGUUAGAAUGAAGAGCCGGAGCUCACUCAAAAUAAUGCCAUGUAUUAUUGUGUCUCCUCUCCACCCCUCCCCUCUUUAGUGGUUCAUCACCACUUGUAUAAAGCAUCUCCAGACUUUGUUUCUUGGUCCUUGACAAUAAACAGAAUCGUCUCCCUAAGCCUGCUA